AUUGAACGCUGGCGGCAGGCCUAACACAUGCAAGUCGAGCGGAUGAAGGGAGCUUGCUCCUGGAUUCAGCGGCGGACGGGUGAGUAAUGCCUAGGAAUCUGCCUGGUAGUGGGGGAUAACGUCCGGAAACGGGCGCUAAUACCGCAUACGUCCUGAGGGAGAAAGUGGGGGAUCUUCGGACCUCACGCUAUCAGAUGAGCCUAGGUCGGAUUAGCUAGUUGGUGGGGUAAAGGCCUACCAAGGCGACGAUCCGCAACUGGUCUGAGAGGAUGAUCAGUCACACUGGAACUGAGACACGGUCCAGACUCCUACGGGAGGCAGCAGUGGGGAAUAUUGGACGAUGGGCGAAAGCCUGAUCCAGCCAUGCCGCGUGUGUGAAGAAGGUCUUCGGAUUGUAAAGCACUUUAAGUUGGGAGGAAGGGCAGUAAGUUAAUACCUUGCUGUUUUGACGUUACCAACAGAAUAAGCACCGGCUAACUUCGUG
rnacentral:rRNA from 1 species